rnacentral:rRNA from 1 species
UACGUAGGGUGCAAGCGUUGUCCGGAAUCAUUGGGCGUAAAGCGCGCGUAGGUGGCUUCGUAAGUCCGUUGUGAAAGUCAAAGGCUCAACCUUUGAAUGCCGAUGGAUACUGCGAAGCUAGAGUACGGAAGAGGCGAGUGGAAUUCCUGGUGUAGCGGUGGAAUGCGCAGAUAUCAGGAGGAACACCAAUAGCGAAGGCAGCUCGCUGGGACGUUACUGACACUAAGGACGCGAAAGCGUGGGGAGCAAACAGGG